rnacentral:tRNA from 1 species
GCGCCGGUACGUGAGAGUAUGUACUAAAACAGAUUCCUAAUCUGUAGGUCACAGGUUCGAAUCCUGUCGGGGUCGCCA